rnacentral:rRNA from 1 species
UACGAAGGUGGCAAGCGUUGUUCGGAUUUACUGGGCGUAAAGGGCGCGUAGGCGGCGCAACAAGUCACUUGUGAAAUCUCCGGGCUUAACCCGGAGCGGCCAAGUGAUACUGUCGUGCUAGAGUGCGGAAGGGGCUACUGGAAUUCUCGGUGUAGCGGUGAAAUGCGUAGAUAUCGAGAGGAACACCUGCGGCGAAGGCGGGUAGCUGGGCCGACACUGACGCUGAGGCGCGAAAGCCAGGGGAGCGAACGGG